UCAGAGAAAGAAUUCUCUUUGAAACCUUAGGGAUUAAGGUUCCAGGGGAACCCAAAGUAGCGCUGUGAAGUUUGGCCACACAUUCGUUGCCUCCUAUACUCAAAGACUCCCCAAGGACGAUGAAGGCAUGGAGAAGAAGCAUAAAAGCGCCUCCAUUCUACCCCCACACGUACAAAACCCACGGUGAAGUAUAGCUGAAUAAUGGUGGCUCAGUGACUAAUUGGUGCCAAUGGCAGCGGUAACCGGAGCUGGUGACGAUGGGAAGCCGAGGAGUGGGCAUGUGCAUCCCACGCGCCCUCGGGUGGUUCAAUUUUUGGCGGCGGCGGCUGAAGGUUUCAUGAAGUCCUAAAUGCUUCUCGGAUCAGCAAACGUGGGUCAAUGGUCUGGUUGGAUAUUUCCUUUUAAUAUUGGGCUUUACUAUUGUAAUUAAUUGUUGGGUUGUACCCUGAAAAAUAAAAGAUGAUAUUAGUAUAUAUUUUUAUUUCUA